rnacentral:rRNA from 1 species
GACGAACGCUGGCGGCGUGCUUAACACAUGCAAGUCGAACGGAAAGGCCCUGCUUGCUGGGUCCUCGAGUGGCGAACGGGUGAGUAACACGCGGGUGUUCUGCCCUGCACUUCGGGAUAAGCCUGGGAAACUGGGUCUAUUACCGGAUAGGAGCCAUUUUUAGUGUGAUGGUUGGAAAGUUUUUUUGGUGUAGGAUGAGCUCGCGGGCUAUCAGCUUGGUGGUGGGGUAAUGGCCUACCAAGGCGGCGGCGGGUAGCCGGCCUGGGAGGGUGGACGGCCACAUCGGGACUGGGAUUCGGCCCAGGCCCAUACGGGAGGCAGCAGUGGGGAAUGGUGCACAAUGGGCGCGAGCGUGAUGCAGCGACGGCGCGGGGGGGAUGACGGCCUUCGGGUUGUGAACGCAUUGCGCUAGGGACCAAGCUUUUUGUGACGGUACCUAGAGAAGAAGCACCGGCUAACUACGUG